UAAUAAGUGACGAGGACAAUAACUUGCACCUCUUUUCACCAUGUGUGUGUAAACUGCGCUAACCCACGUAAUUGUGUGUUAGUAAAACAAAAUGAAGCAUUUCCCAUGCCUGCCACUUCAGCAAAAAAGAGUUGGCAUUGGACUGAAGACUGAUAAUAAUCCCUCUCCAAUCAAUAACACUGGAGAUCUGGUAGGAAUGGAAGGUGGAGACAAGCUGAAUUAGAAGUGUCCUUCAAGAAAUGAACAGUAGGCCUUCAUCGGGAAAAUACA